UCGAGAAUCUUCCGCAAUGGGCGAAAGCCUGACGGAGCGACACCGCGUGCAGGAUGAAGGCCUUCGGGUUGUAAACUGCUGUCAGGUUCUAGGAAUGACAUGGUGUAAAUAGCGCCAUGUUUGACCAAGACCAAAGGAAGCAACGGCUAACUCUGUGCCAGCAGCCGCGGUAAGACAGAGGUUGCAAGCGUUGUUCGGAAUUACUGGGCAUAAAGCGCACGUAGGCGGUCCGCUAAGUCAUGUGUGAAAUCCCCCGGCUCAACCGGGGAAUGGCGCCUGAUACUGGCGGACUCGAGAUCGGUAGGGGUGAGUGGAACUCCAGGUGGAGCGGUGAAAUGCGUAGAUAUCUGGAGGAACACCGGUGGCGAAAGCGACUCACUGGACCGACACUGACGCUGAGGUGCGAAAGCUAGGGUAGCAAACGG
rnacentral:rRNA from 1 species